rnacentral:rRNA from 1 species
UACGUAGGGUGCAAGCGUUGCCCGGAUUUAUUGGGCGUAAAGGGCGUGUAGGCGGUUUGUUAAGUCAUGUGUGAAAUCCCUCGGCUCAACCGGGGAACGACGCAUGAAACUGGCAAGCUAGAGUACCAAAGAGGGGGGUGGAAUUCCCGGUGUAGCGGUGAAAUGCGUAGAUAUGCGGAGGAACACCGAUGGCGAAGGCAGUCCCCUGGGCCUGCACUGACGCUCAUGCACGAAAGCGUGGGGAGCAAACAGG